UACAUAGGUCCCGAGCGUUGUUCGGAUUCACUGGGCGUAAAGGGUGCGUAGGUGGUGAGGCAAGUCGGAUGUGAAAUCUCCGGGCUUAACCCGGAAACUGCAUUGGAAACUACCUUGCUAGAGGUUUUGAGGGGGGACUGGAAUUCUCGGUGUAGCAGUGAAAUGCGUAGAUAUCGAGAGGAACACCAGUGGCGAAGGCGAGUCCCUGGAAAGCAACUGACACUGAGGCACGAAAGCUAGGGGAGCAAACAGG
rnacentral:rRNA from 1 species